AGGCUGGUUUCGCCUAAGAGUCCAAAUCGACGGCGAAGUUCGGCACCUCGAUGUCGGCUCAUCUUAUCCCGGGGCUGGAGAAGGUCCCAAAGGUAUGGCUGUUCGCCAUUUAAAAAGGUACGUGAGCUGGGUUCAAACCGUAGGGUAGUUGUUAGCCACUAGGGAAUAGCCACUAGUGGAAAACGAACGACUAUCGUACGGUUUGAGCCCCGAGGGAAAUGACAUCAUCACGGCGGUCUCCCUUAGAAAUAGGGGAGUAAGAAGUUGACUAUAUCGGGGGAAUCCUAUGGACGACAAACUGUCGUAUGCUAGGAUAAUACCGAGGGAAGUCGCACAUGAAAUUCACACCAACAGAACGAGCGUACAUAGCCGGCUUUUUAGACGGCGAUGGAAGCAUCUAUGUCCAAGCGAAGAAGAACGACACGUAUCGGUACGGCUACCAAGUCGCGCCUGCAAUCGUUUUCUUCCAAUCAGCGAAGUCAGAAAAACUCUUCCGAGAGUUCUACGAGUUCCUGAAUCUUGGGUUGAUGCGAAAGCGCAAUGACGGAGUUAUGGAAAUUACGGUCGGUCGGAUGGCAGAACUUCUGCAACUGAUUGAAGUUGUAAAACCAUACACACGUCUCAAGCGCAAACAACUCGAACUACUGGAACAAAUUCUGGAAGCCAAAGAGGCGGUAGGAGAUAGAAAGAGCUUUUCGAAUCUUCUUAGGCUUAUUGAUGGUUAUCGGAACCUGAAUUAUUCCAAGAAAAGAAAUGUGUUGACCCCGUAGAGACUAAACGUCAACCACCCUAACUCAAGCUGAGAGGGUGAAGAUAUAGUCCAAUGCACACAGUAAUGUGUGGAACGUCCGGCUAUUGCAGAUGGCUGGAAAUAACAUGCGUGAGACAGGUUGGUCUUAAUCUGCUGCAGGCGUUGAUUCUUGAGGAGAUUUGUUUCUAGUACGAGAGGACCGAAAUGAACUGACCUCUGGUCUGGGGGCUGUACCACCAGGUGCACCGCCCCGUAGCUAUGUCGGGAAAGGAUAACCGCUGAAAGCAUCUAAGCGGGAAGCCAACUCCAAGAUCAGGAAUCGUUAUGAGGCUCGUGGGAGAUGACCACGUUGAUAGGCACCAGGUGGAAGCGCAGUAAUGCGUGUAGCCGAGGUGUACUAAUCCGCCCACAG
rnacentral:rRNA from 1 species